rnacentral:rRNA from 1 species
UACGUAGGGGGCUAGCGUUGUCCGGAAUCAUUGGGCGUAAAGGGCGCGUAGGUGGCCCGGUCAGUUCGUGGUGAAAGCGCGGGGCUCAACCCUGCGUCGGCCAUGAAUACUGCCGCGGCUGGAGCACUGUAGAGGCAGGCGGAAUUCCGGGUGUAGCGGUGGAAUGCGUAGAGAUCCGGAAGAACACCGGUGGCGAAGGCGGCCUGCUGGGCAGUUGCUGGACACUG